rnacentral:rRNA from 1 species
AUGAUUUCUUACAUAACUGAAGAGAACAAAAGGAGAAAGAGGAAAAGGAUAAUCUUAACAGAACUUUACUUUGAAUCGGUUCUUCUUGGAAUGGCAUACCUUAUUUCACAGAGAGCACCUCGUUCUUCAGCUAGUUUUAGUGAUGAUGAGCAAAAAUACACACUUAGGAAGUACUUGUUGAAAGCAUGCUAUGAUCAACUACGUUUAACGAAAAGAAACUUUCAUGAUUUGUGCACCAUGUUGCGAUGCUAUAUUGUGAAUGUUGGAGACAUGAAAGGUUCUUUCCAAGAUGCUAUGAAAUCACUUGAGCCUCUAGAACUGCCCAAGGUUACUCCUCCUCUUGAAAUCCUUGCUGCCCUUGAAAAGAUCCCAGACUUGGCUCGUUUAGACAUGUUGCGAGCAUAUGGUAAACUUAUCCUUAGUGAACGCUUAUUUCAAGCGCUUAUGGAGUUGCCCAUGGAGUUUAGGAAGGAAUGGUUGUUGAUGCUCAAUGAGAAGAACAACGUUUGA